AUUGAACGCUGGCGGCAGGCUUAACACAUGCAAGUCGAGCGGGGAAAGGUAGCUUGCUACUUGACCUAGCGGCGGACGGGUGAGUAAUGCUUAGGAAUCUGCCUAUUAGUGGGGGACAACAUCUCGAAAGGGAUGCUAAUACCGCAUACGUCCUACGGGAGAAAGCAGGGGACCUUCGGGCCUUGCGCUAAUAGAUGAGCCUAAGUCGGAUUAGCUAGUUGGUGGGGUAAAGGCCUACCAAGGCGACGAUCUGUAGCGGGUCUGAGAGGAUGAUCCGCCACACUGGGACUGAGACACGGCCCAGACUCCUACGGGAGGCAGCAGUGGGGAAUAUUGGACAAUGGGCGCAAGCCUGAUCCAGCCAUGCCGCGUGUGUGAAGAAGGCCUUAUGGUUGUAAAGCACUUUAAGCGAGGAGGAGGCUACUUUAGAUAAUACCUAGAGAUAGUGGACGUUACUCGCAGAAUAAGCACCGGCUAACUCUGUGCCAGCCGCCGCCGUAAUAC
rnacentral:rRNA from 1 species